AAUGUUUAAGUGGUUAUUUUAAUUGGUAAAUAGUUUGCAUAUUCUCGAACAGCUAGCACUACUGGCCAAUCUACAAUAAAGCUUUUUCAUAAUAUGCAGAAAUCAGAUUUGAAGACGUCUAUACAAAGAGUCUUGCCUUGAAAAAGCUUUCAUUUUCAGGCCCAAAACACUACAAUUUAGAAACAGCACAUACAUUGCAUUUCUGUUCUUAAAUAAUCUACCGCGGAGAAGUGAACAGAAAUACACUUUCUUUCUAAGGACGUUUCAUUAACAAACAUCUAUGUUUGGCAAAAUAUGCCUUUCUAUUUUACACCCACUAGCUGGCAAAGGCAUAAACUGAUGAUCAAUACAGAAGAUCUUUUCAAGGGAUCUUGCAUUAUCCCCAAGCUUCUGCUGUGAUUAAGUAAAAAAUGAUUUUAAUCACAGAAAGACCAUGCAAAUGCUGUAGAAUUAUCUAUAAUUGUUCUUUUUUGCUUCUUAGGGCCACAACAUGACAGAUGGAAAUUCCCAAGCAAGGGGUUGAAUGGGAACUACAGCUCCUGGCCCAUGCCACAGCUACAGGAACACCAGAUCCAAGACGCAUCUGUGACCUACACCACAGCUCACCACAAUGCCAGAACCUUUAACCCACUGAGGGAGGGCAGGGAUCAAACCCGCGUCCUCAUGGAUACUAGUCAGAUUCGUUUCCUCUGAGCCACGACAGGAACUACCCAUAAUUCUUAAUUACUUUCCUAAGAAUUUCACUUUCCAAGAACAUUUGUGAUGAACCAGAACUUCUAGGACACCUUUUUGAAAAAAAUUUUUUUGUUUUGUCUUUUUUUUUUUUUAGGGCCACAUGCCCAGCAUAUGGAAUUUGGCAUAUGGAAGUUCCCAGGGUUGGGGUUCUAAUAGAGCCGAAGUCACAGCCACAGCCAUGCCAGAUCCAAGUGGCAUCUGAGACCUACACUGUGGCUUGCGGCAACACCUCCUUAAGCCCCUGAGCGAGGCCAGGGAUCAAACCCACAUCCUCAUGGAUACUAGCCACGUUCUUAAUCUGCUGAGCCACAAUGGGAAUUCCUCCAGGAAAACCUUUCAAUGCUCCUAUCUCCAUUUUAGUUUCUGAAAUCUCAAAUGGGGAAAAACCUCUUAAGUAUCUGUCUCAUAUAAUCUAACUCAAAUGCAUUAUAAAUGUAUAUCCAAGCAAAGACUGGAAAAACAGCACUGGUGUCCCAACCCCUAAUUGUAUCAGAAUUCUAGACUACAAUAUAAUAGCAAAAGGGCCUUCACAGUUCCUGAACUCCUCUCCUCUCUCUCUUCAGCCAGUCACUCCCUUGAUAUAAUACCUGUCAUGACAGAUAAGGGUAACUCCUCAAAGUCUUAAUUUUAAACACAGCACUCUAACCCCACUUCCUAUAUUUUCAGACCAUCCCUUCUAAGCAUAUCUAUAAGCCAUUAACUGUGUCACAUUUUUGCUACCCCUCUCCACCUCUUUUGCCCUCACUGACGCACUUACAGAUCUUAAGUUCCCAGGCUAUCAUUACAGUCAGACUCUCUGGCAAAAAUACUCCUCUUCAUGGGAUCAGUCAGACUCUCUGGGCAAAACUACAAUCGUGGUUAAGUUCAGUUCAUCUACUCUACGCCUGCCCUCAUGCAGUUUUGCACGGCUAAAGAAAAACAUACAGCCAUUAUCACUGAUCUCACUUUAAAUUCAUUAUCACUAACCUCAAGUAGUCUUCAUUUUGCCUGCCUGUCAAAUUGUGUUUCCCAGUUCCAUUACUCUCCCAUUCCUCUGUUCUACAGCACUCUUCUACCUCCUAUCUCUAGCACUUACCUGCUACAUGGUAUUUCCCUGUUGCAAUCUAAAAUUGAGCUCUCAGGAAUUCCCGUCGUGGCGCAGUGGUUAACGAAUCCGACUAGGAACCAUGAGACAUUUCUCUAUAUCUCACACUUCACAAACAAUUUUGGUAAAUCCAACUGAUUUUAUCUUUAACUAAAGUACAGAAAUAUCACUUCUACGCCUACAGAUACCACCUCAGACCAAGGCAGCUUUCUCUCUCCACCAGAUUAAUGCAAUAGCCUCCUAAUAGUUCUAAUUCUGCCUUUACCUCCAUACUUCGGCCUAGUCAACACAGCAGACAUUAUGACUC
rnacentral:lncRNA from 1 species